rnacentral:tRNA from 1 species
GUUUCCGUAGCUCAGAAGGAUAGAGCAACUGCCUCCUAAGCAGUAGGCCGUGGGUUCGACUCCCGCCGGGAACACCA